AGGGGUAUAGCCAAGUCAGGUUAAGGCCCGGGACUUUGACUCCCGUAUGCGAAGGUUCAAAUCCUUCUGCCCCUUCCA
rnacentral:tRNA from 1 species